UAUUUUCCCAUAAGCUCUGAGCCUUGAGUUUGAUAACUUAACUGCAGAUUGGCUCUUCUUCUUCUUGCAUUCUUUGACAAUUUACUCGAAUCCUCAUCUGACUGAAGCUACCCUUUCAGCAUUUGAUGCUUACAAUAAUCUUUAUGCCUCUUUUAUAUAUCAGACCUUCCUUCUUCAGGAAGCUCCUUUGACUUCAGUUUUAGCUGGUGCCUCUGAUUGUUGUGUACUCUUCAUUCCUUCUCCCUACAAGGAGCAAGCUUCUUCAAUGAAACAUUGCCUCUUCAGCUCUCUUCAGCAAUGAUAAUUUCCAUUUCCUUUUACACUUCCAUCCUUAGAAGAUAUCGUUUCUUCAUUCUGUGCCUCGGGGAUGCAAUCAGACUCAGACUCCUCCUCCUCGUCAUCAUUAUUGUCAUCUUUGCCUACAUCAUCUACCUUUGUCUUAAGCUUCUAUCUCUAGCUGCUAAGAAUCCAUCCUUGGACUCUAAUUCUUCCCAGCCAAUCUGCAGUCUGAGCAAUUCAUCUUCUUUCUUGAAGUAUGGCUUUUCAAUUUCUCCACCUUCAUCUCCAUCACGGCCAGAGUCAGGGUGCACAUCUUCUGCAUUGUAAUACUUCUCAUCGAGAGCUUGCUUCAUCAUCCUAUUGUAUUCCUGGGAUCAAAGUCGUCAACAAGGUCAGCUCCAUCAAUUUCUCCACCUUCUUCAUCUCCAUGACUGCCAAAGUUAGGGUCCACAUCUUCUGCAUUGUGAUACUUCUCAUUGAAAACUUGCUUCAUCGCCGUAUCAUAUUCCUCAGGAUCAAAGUCAUCAUCAAGAUCAACUCCUUCCAAUUGGCAGCCCUUGUCUUCACCUAUGCCAGUGAUCUGCUUAGACUUUGAGCUUUUGCUUCAUCUCCUCUUUUUUUUUUUUUUAAAAUGCUUCAAGUGCUUCAACUCCUCGAAUGACCCAAUAGCCUGUUGCCUGGACUCUUCAGGUACCUGAAAUUGGUUUUAUAAUCCUUGCAUCUCAAUCUCUUCCUUAUCCCUCGACAACCCAUCCAACUCUUCUCAUUGACAUGUCCUUUGUUCUUGUAAUCCUUGCCAACCCACAUCUUAUACGAAAAGAACUAUUUCAGAAACAUCUCAUUCUUACCCAAACCCUCUCUCCUGCCAAAGUAUACGUCCAGCUUCUGCUGAAAUUCUGCAGCAUUGCCACCUUCAACUGGCGCACCAUCGUCUCUCUUCUUAUCUUUAUGAAACAUCACGGUCGUCACCAUCAGCCUCUGCAGCCUCUGCAGCUUCCAGAAAAUGCCCUUCUUAUCUCCUCUUGUGCCUCACUGCAGCUCUUCUUCUUAGUAGCUUCUGUUUGCUCCUCAUUAAAAUCAGGUCCCUCCUCAAUCAGGUUCUUAGCCACCUCGUCUUUCAAGUAAAUCUUAUGUCUUCUCUCAUUCAACUCCUCCUCUUCCUCUUCAUCGCUAUUUCACACUAGAAAAGAUAGGCAUUUUUCUUUUUAAGACUUGGGUCUUGGCUUUGCACCUUAAUUAGUGCACUAUAGAACUCAGAGUCCUUCUACUAGCCUUACUCACAUGAACAUCAUCAUCCAAAGAGGAUGAGUACUCAGAGGUGGAUUUAUCACCUGAUUCAGUUGAACUUGAGUUUUAUCGAUUUCAUCUUAUUGUCAUUUUGGGAAUAUACCAUAGCAAUAUGGUAAAAUUUGCUCAGUAUCACCAGUAGUGACCACCUAUUUUGUACUGUGAAGCUUUCCGCUCAGUGUCACCAGAAUUUUUAUGUGGCUUACUUCUUGUGCAUGGUUGAACCGGAGGUUUUUCUUUUUUUUCUUGUUUUAUUUCCCAAGUGGAGGAGCACGUUGCCAACAUGUGAGGAGAACUUUGGUGCAGAAAGUCCUGCUAUCUCACCUUAACUGAGGCCCAAUAACUAUGAUCCCCACAUUGAUCAUUUCCUGUUUUGAGCCCAAGCUGCGUAUUGCAGACAGCUUUCAGUAAUCACUUUGGACAAAGUUAGAGAGGUGCUUAAGCUUCACCAGGAAAUGAAAGAUCUUGCUAAGCUACUGAUCGCAGAGCAGUCACUUAUCAUGUUUGGCAGGGGAUAGAAUUAUGCUACAGCUAUGUAAGGUUCUUUAAAAGUAAAUGAAGUGGCAUUGAUGCACAGUAAAGGAAUACUUGCCAGUGAAAUGAAACAUGGUCCUCUGGCUCAAGUGGUUGAGAGUCUUCUCAGUGUUUGCUACUCAUGAUGCUUGAUUCAGGUUAGCUUUUGUCGUACGGGUUUUGAUCGUGUCCAUGAAAUCUCUAUUUGUUCUAAAGCUGAAGGUGUCAGUGUUAACUGCAAUCAACAAUCAGUUGUUCAGCAACUACAUGCCCACAAAGGAUGCCCAAUUGUAUCGUACUCAUGGUACCUUAAUAUUGUUUCAUGAUUGAAAUAACGAUGAUGACUUCAACUUAGUUUCAUCUGGGAUGCUAUGCAA